GUGUCACUUACCAAAGUUCCCUUUAGCGUCAUUACUAGGUCUGUGAGACGAGUGUAACUUUGAAUCAUCAGAACCGCUGAUUUCUCCCUGUGUCAGUAUACUUAAAAUGCUGCACUUAAAAGGAUGCUUAUUUUGAUCCUCUGCUCAUUGUUUUCCUCAUGAAGUAUCACUGAUUCAUCCUAGAGGUGGUGUUCUUUUUAAGAAUUUGAGAAGGAAAACGUAGUUCCCAGCUACUUUUGUAUAAUAAAGAUUACUCUGGCAGCAGCAGUAUGAAGGAUGGCUUGUAGGAGGUAAGAGAAAUAUCUUUUCACCAGGGUAAACUCUCCUGUGGUAGGUAAAACGGUGGAGGUGCAUUAGAAUGCUCAAAAUAAGAAGAGAAAGAGGCUAAGUAGUGCUCUCUGAAGAGCACCAUUAUCUCACAAGUUAGAAAGGACUCAAUGGAGACUUAAAAGACAAAAAACAAACAGGGAAACAAAGGGAAACGGGGAGUUAUGGAAGCCAAAAGAGAAGUGGUUUAUGGUGUCAGAUUCUCAUAGGGGUCAGGUAAAAAAAAAAAUAAGGUUUGAAAACAUUGAUAAGGAAACUUAGCCACAGCAGUCUCUCUAGAUUAAUGGGACAAAAACCAGAUUCCAUUUGGUAAGAAGGGUACAGAGAAACUAGUUUUCUUGCAAGAAACUUGACUUUGAAGAGAUCAGAAAACCAGAGAUUUACUAGAACAGUUUUGCUGUAGAACUGUUAAGAUUUUCAGAUGUACUUACUGCUUAUUUUUGUUUCUCAAAUGAUGGUAAUUCUCAUUUUUAGAACUGAUCAUCAGGAGAGUUUAAAAACCUUUUCUGCUGCUUGUCCUGUGAGGAGUUUAAACAGAAGAACCAUAUUUGGGGUACUGUAUUGUUACAUCCUAGCCAACUGAAAAUGAUCUAUAGGCUGGGUGUGGUGGCUUAUGCCUGUAAUCCUGGCACUUUGGGAGGCCAGGGCAGACAGAUCACCUGAGGUUAGGAGUU